rnacentral:rRNA from 1 species
UGGGGAAUUUUGGACAAUGGACGCAAGUCUGAUCCAGCCAUGCCGCGUGCGGGAAGAAGGCCUUCGGGUUGUAAACCGCUUUUGUCAGGGAAGAAACGAGUUUCUCUAAUACAGAGACUUAAUGACGGUACCUGAAGAAUAAGCACCGGCUAACUACGUGCCAGCAGCCGCGGUAAUACGUAGGGUGCAAGCGCUAAUCGGAAUUACUGGGCGUAAAGCGUGCGCAGGCGGUUAUAUAAGACAGAUGUGAAAUCCCCGGGCUCAACCUGGGACCUGCAUUUGUGACUGCAUAGCUAGAGUACGGCAGAGGGGGAUGGAAUUCCGCGUGUAGCAGUGAAAUGCGUAGAUAUGCGGAGGAACACCGAUGGCGAAGGCAAUCCCCUGGGCCUGUACUGACGCUCAUGCACGAAAGCGUGGGGAGCAAACA